rnacentral:rRNA from 1 species
GUAUUUAGCCGUCGCUUCUUCUGUAGGUACCGUCAUUUUUUCUUCCCUACUGAAAGCACUUUACGAUCCGAAGACCUUCAUCGUGCACACAGAAUUGCUGGAUCAGGCUUGUGGCCCAUUGUCCAAUAUUCCC